rnacentral:rRNA from 1 species
CCUACGGGGGGCUGCAGUGGGGAAUAUUGGACAAUGGGGGGAACCCUGAUCCAGCCAUGCCGCGUGUGUGAAGAAGGCCCUCGGGUUGUAAAGCACUUUCAGUGAGGAAGAACGCCUGGUGGUUAAUACCCAUCAGGAAAGACAUCACUCACAGAAGAAGCACCGGCUAACUCCGUGCCAGCAGCCGCGGUAAUACGGAGGGUGCGCGCGUUAAUCGGAAUUACUGGGCGUAAAGCGCGCGUAGGUGGCUUGAUAAGCCGGUUGUGAAAGCCCCGGGCUCAACCUGGGAACGGCAUCCGGAACUGUCAAGCUAGAGUGCAGGAGAGGAAGGUAGAAUUCCCGGUGUAGCGGUGAAAUGCGUAGAGAUCGGGAGGAAUAGCAGUGGCGAAGGCGGCCUUCUGGACUGACACUGACACUGAGGUGCGAAAGCGUGGGUAGCAAACAGGAGUAGAUACCCGAGUAGUC